rnacentral:rRNA from 1 species
GAUGAACGCUGGCGGCGUGCCUAAUACAUGCAAGUCGGGCGAACGGACGAGAAGCUUGCUUCUCUGAUGUUAGCGGCGGACGGGUGAGUAACACGUGGAUAACCUACCUAUAAGACUGGGAUAACUUCGGGAAACCGGAUCUAAUACCGGAUGAUAUUUUGAACCGCAUGGUUCAAAAGUGAAAGACGGUCUUGCUGUCACUUAUAGAUGGAUCCGCGCUGCAUUAGCUAGUUGGUAAGGUAACGGCUUACCAAGGCAACGAUGCAUAGCCGACCUGAGAGGGUGAUCGGCCACACUGGAACUGAGACACGGUCCAGACUCCUACGGGAGGCAGCAGUAGGGAAUCUUCCGCAAUGGGCGAAAGCCUGACGGAGCAACGCCGCGUGAGUGAUGAAGGUCUUCGGAUCGUAAAACUCUGUUAUUAGGGAAGAACAUAUGUGUAAGUAACUGUGCACAUCUUGACGGUACCUAAUCAGAAAGCCACGGCUAACUACGUG